CCUGGACCUCACCCAUUCCUCUCCCUUCCCAUCCUCCUUAAUCUUAUGUUUGGCCUAAAGAAAGAAUCAUGGUAAAACAUCCAAAACCCUCAAGACUGGCCGAGGGAACACAGGAAGAUUGCUGAAUUCCUGGUGAUAUUAUGGUUCCUGAGUCUUCUGCCGUGCUUCUUUGCUCCAAUUGGUAUCAUCCCAAUAUAUGUGUAUUCACUUGCGCUUUAUGGGUUUAUGCACUUCUUUCUUAUCAACCCCCCAAAAAACUUUCUACUAUAAAUCCAGAUUUUGGUUGUUUAAACUUCUGAACCAGAAUUUUGCAACAGAAAUACAUACAGAGUGCAAGCCACUGUUCAGUGCAUUCCUGCUUGGCUUCGCUUCAUCCAGUGCCUGUGCUGGUACCGUGACAAAAGAAGAGCCUUUCCUCUUCCAGUAAAUGCUGCCUGGCAAAUACUCUACAACUUUCUUCACCCUGACAUUUCCAGCCCUU